UACGAAGGGGGCUAGCGUUGCUCGGAAUUACUGGGCGUAAAGCGCACGUAGGCGGAUUGUUAAGUCGGGGGUGAAAUCCUGGAGCUCAACUCCAGAACUGCCUUCGAUACUGGCGAUCUCGAGUUCGGGAGAGGUGAGUGGAACUGCGAGUGUAGAGGUGAAAUUCGUAGAUAUUCGCAAGAACACCAGUGGGCGAAGGCGGCUCACUGGCCCGGUACUGACGCUGAGGUGCGAAAGCGUGGGGAGCAAACAGG
rnacentral:rRNA from 1 species